ensembl:ncRNA B0491.10 ncRNA
AGGGGUGUGAGAGAGAAGGACCCGAGAGAUACUCUCGCCGCCGCGCACUAAUUUUUUGACAAGCCCUAGGAAAAGGAAAAAAAAACUAAGAAACUGAGAAAUUGCACAGCACAUUUUUUCAUUUUUU